rnacentral:rRNA from 1 species
UACGUAGGGUGCGAGCGUUAAUCGGAAUUACUGGGCGUAAAGCGUGCGCAGGCGGCUUCGCAAGUCAGGCGUGAAAAUCCCCCGGGCUUUAACCUGGGAAUGGCGUCUGAAACUACGGAGCUGGAGUGUGGCAGAGGGAGGUAGAAUUCCACGUGUAGCGGUGAAAUGCGUAGAUAUGUGGAGGAAUACCGAUGGCGAAGGCAGCCUCCCUGGGCCAA